GCCAGGCAUGGUGGUGCAUGCCUGUAGUCCCAGCUACUUAGGAGGCUGAGGCAGGAGGAUCCUUUGAGCCCAGGAGUUCAAGGAUGCAGUGAGCCAUGUUCAUGCCACUGCACUCCAGCCUGGGAGACAGAGCAAGACCCUGUCUCAA
ensembl:misc_RNA Metazoa_SRP Metazoan signal recognition particle RNA